rnacentral:rRNA from 1 species
GACGAACGCUGGCGGCGUGCUUAACACAUGCAAGUCGAACGGUGAAGCGCCUUCCUUUUUGGUGGGUGUGGAUGAGUGGCGAACGGGUGAGUAACACGUGAGUAACCUGCCCCCUUCUUCUGGAUAACCGCAUGAAAGUGUGGCUAAUACGGGAUAUUCUGGGUCUGUCGCAUGAUGGGUCUGGGAAAGAUAUUGUUUCGGUGGGGGAUGGGCUCGCGGCCUAUCAGCUUGUUGGUGGGGUGAUGGCCUACCAAGGCGGUGACGGGUAGCCGGCCUGAGAGGGUGGACGGUCACACUGGGACUGAGACACGGCCCAGACUCCUACGGGAGGCAGCAGUGGGGAAUAUUGCACAAUGGGCGCAAGCCUGAUGCAGCGACGCCGCGUGAGGGAUGGAGGCCUGCGGGUUGUGAACCUCUUUCGCCAGUGAAGCAGGCCUGCCUCGUUUGUGGGUGGGUUGACGGUGGCUGGAUAAGAAGCGCCGGCUAACUACGUG